rnacentral:rRNA from 1 species
GAUGAACGCUAGCUACUGGCUUAACACAUGCAAGUCGAGGGGAAACGACAUCGAAAGCUUGCUUUUGAUGGGCGUCGACCGGCGCACGGGUGAGUAACGCGUAUCCAACCUGCCCACCACUUGGGGAUAACCUUGCGAAAGUAAGACUAAUACCCAAUGACGUCUCUAGAAGACAUCUGAAAGAGAUUAAAGAUUUAUCGGUGAUGGAUGGGGAUGCGUCUGAUUAGCUUGUUGGCGGGGUAACGGCCCACCAAGGCGACGAUCAGUAGGGGUUCUGAGAGGAAGGUCCCCCACAUUGGAACUGAGACACGGUCCAAACUCCUACGGGAGGCAGCAGUGAGGAAUAUUGGUCAAUGGACGAGAGUCUGAACCAGCCAAGUAGCGUGCAGGAGGACGGCCCUAUGGGUUGUAAACUGCUUUUAUAAGGGAAUAAAGUGAGUCUCGUGAGACUUUUUGCAUGUACCUUAUGAAUAAGGACCGGCUAAUUCCGUG